GGGAGGUUCCUAGUAGGAAGAACCAAGGAAUUAUUGAGGGUAGGGCAAAGAAAUAGGAAAACCCAGAGGAGAGGAGAUGGCGACGUGGUGGGACCCUCGUGGGACGGCGCAUGAAAGAUAUUGUGAGAAGCCCAAGCCAUGAACUCAUGUUGUUCCAGCGGUGCUUCCUUUCAAGGUGCAAUGUGAACAGCCACCUCAAGCUCUGUCACCAUGUCUACCCCACCGUAAUGGACUGUACCCUUAAAUGUUGUGGGUUUCUGUAAUGGCCUCUGUCUGUGGUAAAAAGAAGCUUCUUUGAUGAGAGGAAUUAGAGGAAGGUUUGAGAGAGCUGAAGGAGCUUGCAACCCCAUAAGAACACCAAUUCCAACCAACCAGAGCUUCCAGGGACUAAACCACUACCAAAAGACUACACAUGGACUGACCCAGGGCUCCAACUGCAUGUCGCAGAGAAUAGCCUUGUUGGGGCACCAGUGGUAGGGGAAGCCCUUGGUCCUGCCAAGGUUGGACCCCCAGUGCAGAGGAAUGUCAGGGGAGUGGUAAGGGAGAGUUGAUGGGGGGAAUACCCAUAUGGGGGAGGGGGAGGGGAUGGAGGCUUAUGGACAUGAAACCGGGGAAGGGAAUAACAUUUGAAAUGUAAAUAAAGAAAUAUAUUUAAAAAAUAAAAAAAGAAAGAGAAGGAAUCUAAGUAAAUGGUAUUCUAUACUAAAGAUGGCUAGAGGCAGGACUUUGAAUCUGAGGUACAGAACCUGAAACUCAGAGCCAGGGAGAUUAAAAGUUGGGUGAAAGGACAAAUGCAAAUGAAUUCGAGUCAAUAUCAGCACCAACUGGGAUGAGAAGUUGGUCCUGAGGGAAAGAAUGUGAGAAUGAGAGUAUUCUUAGAAAGGUUGUGAGUUGGUUUAUGGAUAAUUAUUAGAAUACUGGCUAUUGUUUGCAGCUUGGGUUUUUUUUUUAAAAUAAGUCAGACAAUGUCAUUCUUAGACUCAAGAGGCAAGGGGAGAAGGAACACUACCCUUUUAUGGAUUAGGGGUACACUGCUGUUGGAUUUACCUAAGGGAAAAUUCUGACAUGUUCUGUGUUUUGUAGUGGCAGGAAAACUUCCACAAUGGCUCUUCUAAGUUAAUGCCUAUCCACUUUCACCAAGCAUUACAACUAAUUAUUAUAAGUAGGAGUCAAAUAAUUCUCUUCCUGUGUGUCUUCAUUCCUUAUAUAAAGUCUCCCAGGUAGAUAGAGUCAUAUAGGGUGACUUUGAUGAAAAUAUGGGAGAUACAUUAAAUUGUUUGAGUAAGAAGCAAUUGGAACUCAGAGGGCUAUCAUGGCCUUCAGUGGUCACAGACAUUUUUGGCACAGCUAUAAUAAUGUUGAUGUGUCUGAAAGAAAAGACAACAUAUCUCACUUAUCCCUCCACUGGGACUUCUCAGGAAACGGUUUUACAGAUCUUACUGACUGGACUAUAUGCACAUUUUUCUGAAUACUGUGGGUCCUUUCGGUAGGUACUAUAUGAUUCCUUACCAGUAUGGGGGAAUUGUUGAAAUGAAAGCCAUUAUUCUGAAUCACUGUUUGGGUAAAUAGUAUAGUGCAUUAAUGUAAACAAAAUCAGUGUGGUAAAGUAGAGCUAGCCAUUUUGUGUAAGGAGUUAUAAUACUGCAAAUGAGCUUCCAGAACUUAAAGUACACUUUUUGCUUUACUUGUUGGUUCAACCACAUGUAGGCAGAAUAUAGAGGACUCUGAAGAGUGCUUUUCAAAAACAGGGUUUUAAAUGUUAGUCAAUCUCAACUUCUUAUGUUGAUAGAAAUAGAAUGCUACUUUGAUGAAUAUUGAAUAUUGAGUGGCAGCACUAGUUGUGAAAGUCUACAGAAAAUGGGAUUGCCACAUGGUGGACAUAUACUCUGCCACUGAGCUACAUCCCUUGACCAAACCAGAUCAUCUUAAUGAGAGUUGUACUAUUCUUAUUAUAGUGGUAUUAGGAUUUAGGAAGGAGAAAAUCCAAUAAAAUGUUUCUUAUGAAGCCCAGUGAAAUAAAAUUUCAUAGAGAAUUUAGUGGUUUGGAUAUGGUGAAUAACACUGAGCCUUUCAUGACUGUCAUGAGACUAUCACUGCUGACAUAUGAUAUAUACUCAAUAUAUAUUUGCUGCGUGAUGAAUUUUGUGCUCACCUGCCACUUUCAGAGUUUUGACCAGUCUAUGGCAGUUGUUUAAGAUAGCAUGCCAGAGCCACAUUCCUGAAGUUCAAUUCUCUGUCCAGGACAUAGAAUACUCAUUACAUAAUGGGUUUAGCUGUCAGCGGCAAGGUGAAUAAGUAUCUUGUGUCAGAGAUUCCCCAAGAUGACCCAUAGGUUUGGUGAUUUGCUAGACUCACAGGACUCAGCAUAACAUUUUAUUGCUGGAUACAAGUUAUUGUAGUGGCUUAGUGAAGUUGGAUCUUAGGGGAAAUAAAACACAGCUAGAUCCUGGAGAACUCCCCAUACAGGCUUUGUGUGCUUCCUUCCCUUUAUGAAGGAUUAUGCAAAGUACACUUUCCUCCAGCAGUGAAAAUACAGCAACACAUGCGAAAUGUUUUCUACCAUGGAAGCCUAUUAGAAACUCAGCACCCCAGAUUUUUAUUAGUGACUAAUUACAUAAGUGCUCUGCCUGGUUCAUACCAAAAUGCCAAACUCCCAGACGGAAGGCAGGUGUUCAGCUUAAACCACAUUGCGUGUGCAGAUAGUCUAUGCACAGUGUGCUACUCUAAUCAGUUAACUGUUGACUGGGAGAAUUUCAAGAGCCAAGUUCUCAAGAUGUCAGCCAACUUUAUAAUGCCCUUCUAAGAACAAUCUCGGGCCUUGUGUAUUAACUCUUUAAUAUGCAGGAUUCUUCCUCUACCUUAGAACUAAGAUUGAGAAUAAGCUUGUUCCCAGGGCAGAUAAUCACCCAUGAUCAUAUUCUUGUUCCUUCCAAACAUUUAGGGGCCUGUUUUGAGUUCAAAAGAAGCAUCACAGUAUUUUAAAAAGAAAUCUAUCUCACUUGGCAUAUACUGAGAAUUUCUGAUAUCUUACUGUACCGUGGUUGUUAGACUUAUGAGAGUUAGGAACCCUUUAAGGCAAUGUAUCCAUGCCUUGAAAAUUAGUUUCUUUUUAUCACAUUGAAUAGUUGCCUUUAAUAAUGACCAGCCUUUUUGGGAGAAUUAGAGACAGAGUGCAUGUUAGAAAGGUAGCUGAUAUUCACACAUUGGCUAUUUUUAAAGGUAUUUUUUUAUUUUUUGAAAUUAUAAUAUAAUUGCUCAAUAACUCUAGGAUAAAGCAUUUUAUAGAAUCAAAUCAAAAGUGAGAGAUAUUUCUUUCUUUCUUUCUUUUUUUUUUUUGGUUCUUUUUUUCGGAGCUGGGGACCGAACCCAGGGCCUUGCGCUUCCUAGGCAAGCGCUCUAACACUGAGCUAAAUCCCCAACCCCGAGAGAUAUUUCGAUAUAUAAUACCCUUCUGAGUUGUGUAUAUGUGGAUGGAUACCAAGAUUAGACAUGAGGGGGAUAUGUCACGGUUUUCUGUGCUCUCACAUAAUAAUGUAGUUCCCAACUCAUUGUGUAAAUAGUGAAGUUCUAAUUUUAUUUGAAAGGAUAAUUUUAUUGUAAUGGCACAAAAAGAGAAUCAGGGACAGAGGAGGAGCUGGCUGGAGUAAGAGGUUGGAUUUGGGCAGGCCAAUACUAGAGAGUUUUCAGUUCUGUAUCUUACCUGCUCAGGACAGUGUAUGGCAUGGGCCUCAGGAAAGGAUGCUGAUAAAACUGUCAGCAGCCAGCAGCAGCUCCAGAAUUCUCAACUUCCUUGGUUAUUUUGAGGAAUUCUCUAUAUAUUUCUGAUUAAUUUUUUGAGACUUUCUGUGCAAUCACAUUGCUUAACAAACAGCCUAAGGACUAUUAUUUCGAGCUCUUAAAAUCAAAUUCUUCAAGGUUGAUGGAGAGGCAGUAGUUGAUGUAAUUGGCCUAAAAUCAAGAGUGUGAUUUACUUUUAACUUAAAUGUCAAUUAGAGCUUCUCUUCCAUUGGGAGUUUAGUUAAAUAUAGCUUGGCUCCUCAAUUUCACAACCUGUACAGUCCCCACAUCCUUUUUAUGCUUUCUUUGAGUGUUCAAUCACAUGUCUCUCUGCUACUGAGAGAAUGAAAAUAGAUGUUACUAGUUGUCAAAGGCUAAGACUAGGCAGAAGUAUAAGGAGGAAUGAGAGGGAUCACUAAUAUGCAUGGAGUUACUAGGAUAGGGACGGUAAAAAUGGUCUGAAAUUGAUUGUAGUGAUGGGUAAGCUACUCUGAAUUUACAAAAUAACAUUGAAAUGGAAAAAUUGUAUGGCAUUUGAAUCAAAUCCCUAUAAAACUGUUUCUUUUUAAGAAGUAAGAGUAUCUGAGUUUAUUAGGUUUUUUUUUUCAAUUUCCUGCCAGAAAAGCUGUGGCAGUUUGCCUUGCAACCAUCAGUGUAUGAGAGUGCCUAUUUCCACGGAGCAUCUGAAUGUGUUGUCAUCGUUUGUUUUGCUUUCUUUUUGCCAGUCUGAUAGCUGAGAAAUAGUGUCUCUGUGCAUUUUUUAACUGCAUUUUCAAAAUUCUGAGUGUGCUUCAACAUCUUUUCAUGCUCAAGGAUAGGCUUUUGUGGAUUAUUUAUUCAUAUCAUUCCCCAACUCUUCUACUGGUUUGGUUUGCUUUGCUCAGUUCUUAGGAGUUCUUUAUAUGUUAGGUAUAUCCGCCGUUGUCCGUUAGUGCCCAUGCUUCUCUGUGGGAUGUGAUUGAUUCUCGGCUCUGGCACUUUAUCCACUUACACACCAUUUUCCCUUUAUUAUUGGAGAUGGCUCAAAUGCUUAUCACAGACUUAUUGUGAAUGACAGAACUUGCCAUCACUGUGUCAUGUUUUUCCAUCCAUGCUCCUGAGGAGCUCCACCAGUACUAGGACUGAGGUCAGUAAAAUGAACUAUUCUAGUAGAUGUGGAAAGGCUUUGCUUUUAAGAACCUGCUAUGCAGUUUUCUUUACAUCUCCUCCAUCCCAAAGAGGCAAACCCAAUGUUACAAUCUUUCUGACCACCUCCAAUGCUAAAAAUGGGCAGAUCACCCUCUCUUCCAUAGUAAGACUUCAUGUUUUGAUAGUCACUCCUUAGAAGGCAGUGAAACUACUAUUGUGUUUCCUGGGCUGUAAGAAAGAAAAGCUAUAAGGCUUUUGUUUUGAUACAUUCUUAUCUGUUCUUGUCAAGUUCUUUCUGGCACCCUUAUUAAUUUUCCUUUUGGAAUGAACCUACAUUAUUAUUGUUUUUUGGCUGGCCUUUGACGGCUUGUAGCCGCCUUCUUUCUGACAGUUUGGAAGUUUCUUUAAAAACUAAACAUGCAAUUACUGUAUGCUGUGCUUUGAACCUGUCUCAAAAAUUCAUUUUGAAAUUUAAUUGUCAUUCUAACAGUGUUGAAAGGUAUGACCUUUAAGAGCUGAUUGGGCCAAGAGGCUCUGUUGUCGUCUAUGGAUUAAUGCCAUCAUCACAGGACUAGUUUAGUUAUUGAGGGAGUUAGUUUCUAAAAAGGGAGUGGGGGAUACGCACAGCCUGAUUUUUGCAUGUUUUUUUACAUGAUUUCUACUAUUCCAACAUGUUAGGAAACACGUUAGGAAGUACAAAGAUCUUUAUGAAAUUGAGUGCUAUGCUUUUUAAUGUCUCAGUCCCUAGAAUUAUGAGCCAAGUAAAUUUCUGUUCACUCUAAGUUAUCAGUGUUGUUUUUCUUUUAUAGUAGCAGAAAAUGGAUUAAGACACCAAAGGACACAGAAAUUGAAUUUUCGGACAUUCAUAUCAGAUAAAUGAAAAUGUAUGCCCAGCAUUAAAUUGUAUAUGAAAGUUCACUGUGAUUUUUUUCAUACUAACUAAAAAGUAACAAGAAUGUAGAAACCCUUCAAAAAUUAGUGGCUAAACAAAUAUAAUGCAUACUAAUGCAUACAUACUAUAGAAUACUAUUUAAUGAUCAGUAGGAAUGAAGUAUAGAUAUAAAUAAUUGAACAAUUCUCAAAGGCAUUAUGCUGCAUUUCUUUUAAGCCAGUCUCACAAUGUUGGAUUAUUUUAUUUGUAUAAUCUUCUUAAAAAGACAAAAAUAGGGGUUGAAGAGAUGGCUUAAUGAUUAAGAGCUCAUAAUGCUCUUCAAGAGGACCUGAGUUCAGUUCCCAGUACCCAUAUCAGAUGGCUCACAACCACCUGUAACCCUUGCUCUUGGAGAUCCAAUGUUCUUUUUUUUUUUUUUGGUUCUUUUUUUUUCCGGAGCUGGGGACCGAACCCAGGGCCUUGCGCUUCCUAGGCAAGCGCUCUACCACUGAGCUAAAUCCCCAACCCCGAGAUCCAAUGUUCUUUCUGGACCCAGAGGGUAUCCACAUAUAUACACCUCCCCACCCACAUAUAUACAUAAUUUUAAAAUAAUAAGUAACUUUUUAUAAUAUUUUAAUUUAUAUUAUAAAAAGCUUGAAAGAUAGCAAGCAACUAGAAGUGAGCCAAAAGACUAAGGACUGGCAGUGUUUAGUGUAGCCUGGACAUUUUUAGACAUUAUUAUCAAACUUGCAGGAAUUACACACUGAUUUGAUUGAUAGAGAAAAUACUUCACUGGUAAGAUUUUUAUUUGAAAGGACUGACCCUUCUGGCCUGUGUUGUAGAUCACAUAAAAAUGUAGCACAGUAGGGCUUUUGUUAGUAAAUUCUAUCUUGUAUCAGAAUGGAAGUUCUGCAAUGCAGGCCCUGAGACUGAAUGACAGAACUAGCCAUGUCAGUCUUCAGAGCUGUAACCACCUGAAAAUUCUGCUAAUACUGGUUAUGUGCCAUAUUCCCAUAAUAAUAAUAAUAAUUGGUACAUACGGACGGCAUACCAUAUGCUAGGCUCCAUUUUAAUGUGCUUUGUGUGUAGUUUGUGUAAUGUUAAAAAACUCUCAGAGAUACAAAAAUACAAAAACUAAGACAUUGAUUUGCUUACAUUCACACAGAAAGUAACUAUCUGGGCCAGCAUUCGAACCUUAGGCAGCAAACUCCAUGGCCCAAGCUCAUGAAUGUUCUGUUGUGUAACCUCUUAAGAAAUCAUGGCUCGGGGGAGGGGCUAGGGGGAUGUUGGCCGAAGGGGAAUAACAAUCGAAAUGUAAAUAAGAAAUACUCAAAUUAAUAAAGAUUUUAAAAAAGAAAUUAUGGCUCUUUGAAAGCAGGUAAGUCAAAAGAAACAUCUCCUAGUAUAUUUCUCUGGCUUGACCAUUUCUACUCAAUUGUUUCUCUUUUCUGUCUUUACCUGCGGCUGUAAUUAUUGUUACUUUUAAUCCUGUUUGCCUAAGGUUAAAUGCUAUCUUGCUACUGACUCCUUUACAGUCAAUUGGAAGCAAUUAUCUUCCUAGUAGAAGUCUUCCUGUGUCAUUACAAGUAGAUUGUAUAACGCUUUUGGUAACUCUUUCUUAGUUUUUCUUUAUAUGGAACUCUAUGGUUAUGUAUUUCAGAGAUAGAAACUAAGCAGGACUGAUGGAUUUCAGAUUUUCGUUCCACUUGGGUUAGUUUAUAGGUGUGAGGAGAGAGGAGAUAUGGUUAAGACCCAGGCAUAUACCAGGAAUCUAGGAGGAAAUAGAUAGUUUUGCUGAAUGAAGAAUAUGCCUAUUAAUAGUAGACCAGAAAAAUUACAGCCAAGAAACUAAAUCCUACCUCAUUGCCAAUUUUAUAAAAUUUCAAGAGGCACAGCCAUACAUGUUAAUUUACUUAUUGCCUCCAGAUGCUUUUGUUUUAUGACAAGAGUUAGAUAGCUAUGAUAGAGACUAAAUGGCCUACAAAUUUGUGGUAUUUUCUCUUUGAGCACUUUACAGAAAUAUUUUACCAAUGCUUAGUACAUGAAAUGGAAUAUUUUACAUGACUGGAAGUUGCCGUACAUGUAAAUGCACAGUUUGAAACUGUCUUGUUUUACACAGAGACAUGUAAAAGCACUAAGAAGAAUCUAGAUGUUUGUGCCAUAGAGGAAGGUAUCAAAAUGAUAUAAUAGAGGACUCAGUACAAAUAAACAAAAGAGCCUGGCUUUCAGAGACAGCAAUAGAGAUAGGUUAUCAAGGGGUGGCCGGGGAGUUUGUUUCCCUGUCCAUCUUAAAGAGAAAGCAUUUCCAUUUUAAACAACUAAGAGGAUAGAGGAGCUCAACUCUGUUUCAGAUACAUUCAGUACAUUUAAUUGCGAUAUUCUUCAUGAGAUCAAAAUAAAGAAAAAGACAGAGGGAGGAUGGGUAUGGUAAGUAGAGAUUAUUCAGUCAGAGGAUAAGAUAGAGGAGUACAUUCUAAUUUAUGGCUUCUAUGGGAGACUUUAGGGAGAGGUAAAUAGUGAGCAUGAUUUGAAUGUAGGAGACCAUGGCUUUAAGCUAGACACUUGAGCUUGAAAGUUUUAAAGCUAAGCUUCUUGGGUAUAAAUCAAGCUCCACCACCUAAAUAUUUAGAAACAUUAUUUCUCUCAGCUUCAAUUCCAUCAUAUGUAAAAUGGAGAUAUAAUAAAAAUUUGUUAUAGUUAAAUGUGUUAAUUAUGUAAAGGCCGUAGAAUAGUGUGUGGGAGUUAGUAAUGAAUCUAUACAGAGAAAUGCUAGGAAACUAGGUGAACUUAUCUAUAAAUAGUUGCUGUAGGUAUAUUGAAGAUGGAAACUAGAGUUUCAGAGUCUGCUGUAGCUGGAACACAUAUGGGAGAGACCUCUUCUGUGCUAAAAAAUAGAUGGAGAGUUAGACUUUGGUGAUCCUUGUCUGUUUACUUAAGACUUAGUUUUUUAAAGUUUAUGUUAGAAGUUGAACAAGUAAUAAUUUUCUCCAAAGCCCAGAAGAUUGCCUGGCUUAGCAUACACUACAAAUGUAUUCAUUAAAUAAAUUUAUUAAAUGAAUGAAUGAUAUUUGGAAUAGUGGAAUGUUAUCGAGUUUAUAUUUACAUACUAGACAGGUGGUGCUCUGGAGAUGAUGAAACCUUGAUGAUGAACUGGGGAAGGGGUGACUGUGGUGUGUCAGUCACUUGGGACAAUAUCAGAAGUUUAGAUGAGGCAUGAGCGAGGAUAACGUUGGGAAUAUGGAACCUGGGAAUAAAGGUCUAUUCUAGAAACUUUCAGUAUGUCUUGCUCUGGGUUUCAUAGUGUAUAACUACUGCUGAUCCCCAGAACAAUGAGGAUCUUUAAACAAAAAGCCAAAGACCAAUUGAGCAAAUGUGGUAUCUGGUACACAUAAUCAGAAAUGGACCUAAGCUUUCUUAGAGAAGGUUACUGGCAUCAAGGUGUUAUUUAAUGUGUUAAAGGUUACUUUAGCAGGUGAGUCUGUGACCACAGUGAUAGCAUAUUGAACUUACAGAGUCCUCUUUGGACGGAUUGGUGCAGUCCAGGGAGUUUUCUCUUCUCAGUAAGAAGGAGUUGCCAAAGCCAUCCUUAAGACAGAGAGCUUAGAAAAUGGACUGUACUCUCCAUUACAGACAUUUCAAAUAGAAAGAAGUGGGAGAGAAGUUGGCAAGAUUUUCACAUAGAAGCAACAGAGGUAGCAGCCACAGGAUGCCAUUGAAAAAUGCAGAGUUCAUGGUUUGGUAGCCCCUUGGUGAACUCCGCACUCAUGAAAUAUGGCCAGAAGAAUACAAGGAGACUGCAUCAUAACUGUACAGUAUGCAUCAAGGCAGGAACUAGGCAGGUGCCAGAGUCUACAGGAAAUAUGAAUACAGUUUCCAAUCUACUUAAGAGAAGGCUCACCCAGGGGCAAGUUCAGCAUUAACAACCAGACUUCUGAAGGACUUCACAGAGUCACACACUUCAACACACUUAACUCAACCCAUGGAGGAUAUUCAUUGACAAGGCCAGUAUCUAUAGCCCAACUUGGCAAAAGAGGCUUGACAGGCAUGUGGGUGUCUGGGAAGAUUCUACUCAGUCUAUAAAUCACAUUGAACACUUAUCCCUUCACAGUUGUUCUUCCUUUGUUCUAUCCCCAAUGUCAACAUGUCCAGACAGCACAGCACUACUCUGUUGUUAUCUCCUCUCUCUCACUUGUUCUCUCUGUCCCCAUCUCCCCUUUCUUCUCUUUAUUUUUCUCUAGUCUGUUUCUCUUCCUUUUUAUAGGCUUUCCCAAAGAAUAUGGGUUGGCUUGAUUUGUGAAAGUUCUAUGUCUGUGCCUCCCGAGAACUGGAACUAUUCUCAUUAUCUUAUUGGGUUCCUUUGCCUCUCUCUUUUCAUGCUGCUCUUAGUCCGAUGUAUAUCUCCAUAUCUUGCCCCCAUUAGCCCACCCUUCUAAUUACUUUUCCUCUCCUACAUUUUAUUUAUCAACCCAAUACCACUCAUUCAUCUUACCCUACGUUUUUUUCUUUCUAGUCAUAGACACAGUAAGCAGUAAUGUGAUAGCUUGAGAAACCCCAUGUAACCAUGGCCUCCAUCUUGGUACGCACUAGCCAUUUAGUCUUUGAUUCUCCUCCCUGGAAGAUAAGUUACCAGUAUCCCCAACUCAAUGAUCCCCUUCCAUAAAUUUACAGCCGUAAUCAUCUACUUGUUAUAAUAUGAGAAUAACUGCUUUUUUGCUUCUGUAUCAUGCUUAUGCAGAUAGUCAACAACUAUUUUGAAGACAUCGUGACUACCUAAUCUUGGCAGAUCAGGACUCAGAUCAGAAAGAUUUGGUUUUCUUGGGCAGAUACUCAAGGGCUUCUUGUGGUUUUCAGCUUUAUAAAUCCUUCUCUCACCCCCACCCUUAGCCUGGCAAUCUCAAAUUUAUUGUUGGGCCAGAGAUUGUUACCCUGCUAGCAGUUUUAAUAAAUUUAACUAAUUACUAUGAGGAGUAAGUCUGUGGCCUUUUCCCAAGGAUCACAAACGCCAUAAUAUCUGGAAGCCCCAACAAGAUCCUCGAGAGACCUCAGAGUAUGGACCAGGGUUCUGGGGUGGGCUCCAUGUAUGAGCAAUUCAAGGUGGACUUGAUAGACUCUAGUGACCCCAAGAUCACAUCUGCUACAAAUUAAUGUUCAGUAGUCAGGGAUAAACUCCAAGAGGGAUCAUGUCCAAGAUUGUCUUGACAGGCUCUAGGGAGCCCAGACUUUUACCUCCCCAAAUUUUUAAAUUGAAAGCAAAAAAAAAAAAAAAACGACUAAGGAUUGCUGGCCAACAUGCUUCUGAAACUCAGACAAGUAAGGAGUCAAUUCUGUUUUGCUUUAGGGUCUGGACACUUGGAGAGACUAAGGGGAGAUUGGAUACAGCCAUUGAUCUAGUAAUUGGGGCGGAGGAGACAUUCUAUUGCUCUACUGGUCUUAGUGUAUGAAUGAAGGCAGUCAUCACAUGUCAAGUUUGUCUGGUCUUUCUUGAUUGCAUUGUUUUAUUGUCUUUUUACAUUGUUAUCUUUGUCUGUUGGAUUUGUGUUUUCAAUUUUGUUGCAAAAAAUGGAAGUUGGACUGAGCAUAGCUGAAAUUGCCCCAAAGCUGCAUAGCACAAUAUUUUCAGGAUUUCUAAGAGGCAAACUGCCCCUGGCUGCUUUCAUGCCAGCUCCUCCCUAGGGCUUGUCUCUGUUCCUGUCGUUGGCUUGCUGAAACCCGAUAUUUAAGUCUUGCAGCUACAAAAGAUACUUCUCUAAACCUUCUUAUUUGUGAAUCUUGUCCUACGCUCUGCUUCUGAAGGAUGUUGUUUUCCUGCUUCUAUCUCCCAGCUGAUUCCUGUCUCUGACCAUGAAGCUCUGUCUGGCACCAAGCCCUGUACCACUGGGCUAGGGCAAUGCAAAUGCCCAUCCCAAUCUGAGUGUGCAGCCCUUCUGGACAACAUAAGCCCCCUAUCCACAGCCUGCUGCUCACUGAGCUGCUACAGCUGGUCUGCACUAAGAAUUUCUUAUCUCCAAGCCUUCUUUGUUCUCUGCUUGCUUUGGUCUCUUCCUCUGAUCACUGGAAUUAGUUUUGCAGGGAUUCAGAUGUCUUUUCAGCAUGGGUAAUAUUGAAGCAUCAUUUUGUUUUAUGUUGUUCUACUUCACUGAAGAGCUGGCUUUGGAGUUGAGUUAUGUCCCCCUCUCCUGACCCAAGCAGUUUUUAAAGGUUUCUCCAAAGUCAGACAGGCCUCCCGACUCUUAUAUGUAUGUAGAUUAGUCCCAAUAAGAAUUACUGCUGCUUAUCUCAUACUUUUCUUUCUUUUAUUUAACUCCCUAAGACACUUGCUAAAAUAUAAACCCACCUCAAGAUUUGUAAGACUAUUAUAUAAACUUUCUCUACUUUAAGCUUUAUAAAUGUGGUUAAAAAUGUGUAAAAAAACAACCUAAUGCCAACAUUUUCUGAGUUCCCAUAGAUACCUGAUUUUUAUAGUUUCUGUUUAAUGUUCUCCAGGUUAUAGAUACUUAUGUUAUUCUGCAACUUGAUGACUUUAUAAGAAAAAAACUUAUUAAGCUUUUCAGGUUGUCUGCUUCUAUCUGCAGAGACACAAAACUGGUUAUAAAAAUAAAACCUGACAUCUAAAAUUUCUCAAUAA